GCAGUGGGGAAUUUUGGACAAUGUGGCGCAAGCCUGAUCCAGCCAUGCCGCGUGGGUGAAGAAGGCCUUCGGGUUGUAAAGCUCUUUCAGCCGGGAAGAAAAGGUUGCGAUUAAUAAUCGCAAUUUAUGACGGUACCGGAAGAAGAAGCACCGGCUAACUACGUGCCAGCAGCCGCGGUAAUACGUAGGGUGCGAGCGUU
rnacentral:rRNA from 1 species